CCUACGGGGCGCAGCAGUAGGGAAUUUUCGUCAAUGGGCGCAAGCCUGAACGAGCGAUGCCGCGUGAGUGAAGAAGGCCUUCGGGUCGUAAAGCUCUGUUGCGGGGGAAAAAAGGCAGCAUCAGGAAAUGGGUGCUGACUGAUGGUGCCCCGCCAGAAAGUCACGGCUAACUACGUGCCAGCAGCCGCGGUAAUACGGAGGAUGCGAGCGUUAUCCGGAUUUAUUGGGUUUAAAGGGUGCGCAGGCGGCGUGUCAAGUCAGCGGUAACAUGUCGGGGCUCAACCCCGGCCGGCCGUUGAAACUGG
rnacentral:rRNA from 1 species